rnacentral:rRNA from 1 species
GCAAGAUUAAAACUCAAAGGAAUAGACGGGGACCCGCACAAGUGGUGGAGCAUGUGGUUUAAUUCGAAGAUACGCGAAGAACCUUACCUAGCCUUGACAUUGAUAGAAUCUUCCAGAGAUGGAGAAGUGCCUUUCGGGGAACUUGAAAACAGGUGCUGCACGGCUGUCGUCAGCUCGUGUCGUGAGAUGUUGGGUUAAGUCCCGCAACGAGCGCAACCCUCGUCAUUAGUUACUAACAGUUCGGCUGAGGACUCUAAUGAGACUGCCUUCGUAAGGAGGAGGAAGGUGAGGACGACGUCAAGUCAUCAUGGCCCUUACGGCUAGGGCGACACACGUGCUACAAUGGUUAGGACAAUGAGAAGCGAUACCGCGAGGUGGAGCAAAUCUAUAAACCUAAUCUCAGUUCGGAUUGUAGUCUGCAACUCGACUACAUGAAGCUGGAAUCACUAGUAAUCGUAGAUCAGCCAUGCUACGGUGAAUACGUUCCCGGGUCUUGUACUCACCGCCCGUCACACCAUGGGAGUUGAUUUCACCCGAAGCGGGGAAGCUAAACUGGCUACCCUCCACGGUGGAAUUAGCGACUGGGGUGAAGUCGAAGAAACAGC